rnacentral:rRNA from 1 species
CCCUUAGAUGUUCUGGGCCGCACGCGCGCUACACUGAUGCAUUCAACGAGUUUCUUCCUGGUCCGAGAGGAAUGGGUAACCUUUUGAAAGUGCAUCGUGAUAGGGAUAGACUAUUGCAAUUAUUGGUCUUCAACGAGGAAUUCCUAGUAGACGUAGUUCAUCAGACUGCAUCGAUUACGUCCCUGCCCUUUGUACACACCGCCCGUCGCUCCUACCGAUUGAAUGCCCAGGUGAGCCAUUCGGACUUUCAUCAUGCCGGUUUCCAGUUUUGAUGAAGGAAAGUCUUGCGAACCUUAUCAUUUAGAGGAAGGAGAAGUCGUAACA